rnacentral:lncRNA from 1 species
CUAUUUUUUAUUGGGUUGUUCAGUAUGGAAGCCACUGAAGAUGCUCUCUGUCUAAGAUGAGCUGAGAGAAAAGACGGUCUGAGCAUUCAGCACUAAUUUUAAGAGGGAAUAACGUGACUAGUUUCUACUCUGGUAAUCCCUGACAAUAUUGCAAAGAUGCUUGCCAAUGUAACUAUUUGCAAAGGCAAUUGACGCAUGUGCAAUUCUGUUUCUGUGAACAAGAGCGAAGGCAAUGAUGUCAAAAGUUGUUUUUUCACACUUUGAGGAAUACUGUGAUCCUCCUUCAAUCUUUUCUUUCAUUAUCUGUAAUUUGUCAGCCACCUAACAACAAAACUGAUAACAGUCGCUGCCGUUGAGAAGCACCUCUGCUUAUUAGGGCACAUUUCUCCCAGAGAAUACAUUUUGCAUAAAGGGGAACACCAAGAACUUUAGAAAUGAGACUAAUUAAAACUGGUUCAGAGUACCAAAGUCUUCCAGGGUCACUGAGUGUAUGGCUGGGUCCUGGUGGAGAAAAGGAUUCAGGAUUCGUAUUGGUAUUUCAUGAUGUUGAUGGAGGUCCUGAGGUUGGAAGAUCUACAGCCAGCACUCCAUCCCGGAAAAUGGUCCCAUCUGUGAUUGGCAGCCAUGGCCAGAAUAUUACGAGGAGAAACAAGAUGUGUCUCUAG